rnacentral:tRNA from 1 species
UCCUCGUUAGUAUAGUGGUGAGUAUUCCUGCCUGUCACUUGGGAGACUGGGGUUCAAUUCUCCUAUGGGGAG